AUUUUCACUAUAGUGCAAUCCGAGGAACGUUUCAACAUUGCCUACUGGAUAAGUCUACAAACUUUAUUUAAAGGUACCCUGUUCAGUAAAUGCUACAAUAACUCAUUCUGAAGAUGGAGAGGAAAGAGGAGUGUUUGUGAGGCGCAUGUGAACUGGGACCGUGGCGCUAAUAUUCAACCCAGCUAGAUCAGGCCACAAGGUCUGCAUGUGCAAAGAGCUUCUGUUAGUAUUUCUGCAUUUAACCUUUGCUCUGUUUCAGCACCCCUGCAGUGUUUCUCCUGUGCAUUUCUCUUCCCCUCAUAACCUAACAGCCUUCUGCUGUGGUACAGGAACUGUCUCCGGGAUGCACUGCUCCCAGAAUUCAACAUGUCAAAUGUGGUCACUUUUGAUGUCAAGAAGCCCUCCUGACUCUGAACAUGUUCCCGUACUAUCACUCAGCAGUGAGAUCAAAAGAGCGUGCGCUGGUCAUGAUGAAUGUAGGAGCGCUGCAGACUCUAAUCCUGUCCAGCCUCUCUGUCCCCACAAAUACCCUACAGUGAAGGAGGAAGAAAAGCACAGGAGAUGGAGAAAGUGGAAACAGGCCUGCUUUCCCAGACUGUGGCGAUAGACUUAUCUGCUACGGGACGGUCGGGCAGGCCUGGCCCAGCUUAUAGGUUCUCAUCAGGAGCGGCCAGCCAAUAAAAGAUAAGUCUGAGAGGAGCCA
ensembl:lncRNA